AGUAACGCGUGGGUAACCUGCCUCAUACAGGGGGAUAACGAUUGGAAACGAUUGCUAAUACCGCAUAAGCGCACAGUACCACAUGGUGCAGUGUGAAAAACUCCGGUGGUAUGAGAUGGACCCGCGUCUGAUUAGCUAGUUGGUGAGGUAAUGGCCCACCAAGGCGACGAUCGGUAGCCGGACUGAGAGGUUGAACGGCCACAUUGGGACUGAGACACGGCCCAG
rnacentral:rRNA from 1 species